rnacentral:tRNA from 1 species
GGGGGUGUCGGUUAAGUGGUAAACCACUUCUCUCCAAAAGAAGAAUACUGCAGGUUCGAGUCCUGCCACCCCCGCCA